rnacentral:lncRNA from 1 species
AUGUGCACAGCUGGCGCCCCCCGCCCGCGGCGCACAGCUGGGACGUGGGCCGCGCCUGGGCGGCGGGCGGGCGCAGUCCGGAGCCGGCGGUGGACGCGCCGGGCCUUCGCUGUCGGUCCGCGCGCCCGAGCGCCCCGCGCGCCGUGGGUCAUGGCCGUGCGCGCCGCGCGCCCCUGCCUGCUGGCACUCGCUCUGUGCUCGUGCUGGGGGGCGCUGGCCGAGGUCGCCCCCAGGCCGAGCAACGGGUGUCCCAGCCGCUGCCUGUGCUUCCGCACCACGGUGCGCUGCAUGCAUCUGCUGCUGGAGGCCGUGCCCGCCGUGGCGCCGCAGACCUCUAUCCUGGAUCUUCGCUUUAACAGAAUCAGAGAGAUCCAGCCAGGGGCCUUCAAGGGGCUGAGAAACCUGAACACAUUGCUUCUCAACAAUAAUCAGAUCAAGAGCAUCCCUGGCGGGUCGUUCGAAGACUUGGAGAGUCUGAAAUACCUAUACCUGCACUUCAAUCAGAUAGAAACUUUGGACCCGGAGUCAUUUCAGCAUCUGCCGAAGCUGGAGAGGCUGUUUUUACAUAACAACCGAAUUACACAUUUGGUUCCGGGGACGUUCAAUCACUUGGAGUCUAUGAAAAGAUUGCGCCUGGACUCCAACGCACUUCACUGUGACUGUGAGAUCCUGUGGCUGGCAGACCUGCUGAAGGGCUACGCGCGGUCAGGAAACGCGCAGGCCGCGGCCACCUGUGAGUAUCCCCGGCGCAUCCAGGGCCGGUCGGUGGCCACCAUCACCCCGGAGGAGCUGGACUGUGAAAGGCCGCGGAUCACGUCAGAGCCGCAGGAUGCCGACGUCACCCUGGGCAACACCGUCUUCUUCACCUGCAGGGCUGAGGGCAACCCCAAGCCCGAGAUCAUCUGGCUGCGGAACAACAACGAGCUGAGCAUGAAGACGGAUUCUCGCUUGAACUUGCUGGAUGACGGGACCCUCAUGAUCCAAAACACGCGGGAGACAGACCAGGGCAUCUAUCAGUGCAUGGCGAAGAAUGUGGCUGGGGAGGUGAAGACACAGGAGGUGACCCUCAGGUACUUCCGGUCUCCAGCUCGCCCGGCGUUUGUAAUCCAGCCCCAGAACACAGAAGUGCUGGUCGGGGAGGGUGUGACCUUGGAGUGCAGCGCCACGGGCCACCCCCCGCCGCAGAUCACCUGGACCAGGGGCGACCGCAGCCCCGUGCCCACAGACCCUCGGGUGAGCAUCACCCCGUCCGGCGGCCUCUAUAUCCAGAACGUGGAGCAGGAGGACAGCGGGGAGUACACCUGCUUUGCCUCCAACACCGUGGACAGCAUCCACGCCACGGCCUUCAUCAUCGUCCAAGCGCUUCCUCAGUUCACCGUGACGCCCCAGGACAGGGCUGUCAUCGAGGGCCAGACGGUUGAGUUCCACUGCGAGGCAAAGGGCUACCCGCAGCCUGUCAUCGCCUGGACCAAAGGAGGGAGCCAGCUGUCAGUGGACAGGCGCCACCUGGUCCUGUCGUCGGGGACGCUGAGGAUCUUGGCCGUCGCCCUGCAUGACCAGGGCCAGUACGAGUGCCAGGCUGUGAACAUCAUCGGCUCCCAAAGGGUCGCCGCACACCUGACCAUCCAGCCCCGAGUCACCCCGGUGUUCACCAGCGUCCCCAGGGACAUGACGGUGGAGGUGGGCAGCAACGUGCAGCUGCCCUGCCGCCCCCAGGGCGAGCCGGAGCCCGCUGUCACCUGGAACAAGGAUGGGGUUCAGGUGACAGAAAGCGGGAAAUUUCACAUCAGCCCCGAGGGGUUCCUGACCAUCCGCGACGUUGGGACCGCAGAUGCUGGCCGCUACGAGUGUGUGGCCCGGAACACGAUCGGGCAGGCGUCGGUCAGCAUGGUGCUCAGCGUGAACGUUCCUGAUGUCAGCCGGAACGGGGACCCGUUUGUGGCCACGUCCAUCGUCGAGGCCAUCGCAACCGUGGACAGGGCCAUCAACUCCACGCGGACGCACCUGUUUGACAGCCGCCCUCGCUCCCCGAACGACCUGCUGGCCCUGUUCCGGUACCCGCGGGACCCCUACACGGUGGAGCAGGCCCGGGCCGGGGAGAUUUUCGAGCGGACGCUGCAGCUGAUCCAGGAGCACGUGCGGCACGGCCUGAUGGUGGACCUCAACGGAACCAGUUACCACUACAACGACCUCGUGUCCCCGCAGUACCUGAGCCUGAUCGCCAACCUGUCGGGCUGCACGGCCCACCGGCGCGUCAACAACUGCUCGGACAUGUGUUUCCACCAGAAGUACCGCACGCACGACGGCACGUGCAACAACCUGCAGCACCCCAUGUGGGGCGCCUCGCUCACCGCCUUCGAGCGCCUGCUCAAGGCCGUGUACGAGAACGGCUUCAACACGCCGCGCGGCAUCGACCCGGGCCGGCGCUACCACGGGCACCCGCUGCCCAUGCCCCGCCUGGUGUCCACGGCCCUCAUCGGGUCGGAGGCCGUCACCCCGGACGAGCAGUUCACGCACAUGCUCAUGCAGUGGGGCCAGUUCCUGGACCACGACCUGGACUCCACGGUGGUGGCCCUGAGCCAGGCCCGCUUCUCCGACGGGCAGCACUGCAGCUCGGCCUGCAGCAACGACCCGCCCUGCUUCUCGGUGGCCCUGCCGCCCGACGACCCGCGGGCGCGCAGCGGGGCGCGCUGCAUGUUCUUCGUGCGCUCCAGCCCCGUGUGCGGCAGCGGCAUGACGUCACUGCUCAUGAACUCCGUGUACCCCCGCGAGCAGAUCAACCAGCUCACGUCCUACAUCGACGCCUCCAACGUGUACGGCAGCUCCGAGCACGAGGCCCGCGCGGUCCGCGACCUGGCCAGCCAGCGCGGGCUGCUGCGCCAGGGCAUCGUGCAGCGCUCCGGCAAGCCGCUGCUGCCCUUCGCCGCCGGGCCGCCCACCGAGUGCAUGCGGGACGAGAACGAGAGCCCCAUCCCCUGCUUCCUGGCCGGCGACCACCGCGCCAACGAGCAGCUGGGCCUCACCAGCAUGCACACGCUCUGGUUCCGCGAGCACAACCGCGUGGCCGCCGAGCUGCUGGCGCUGAACCCGCACUGGGACGGCGACACGGUCUACCACGAGGCCCGCAAGCUGGUGGGCGCCCAGGUGCAGCACAUCACCUUCCAGCACUGGCUGCCCAAGGUGCUGGGCGAGGCCGGCAUGAAGAUGCUGGGCGAGUACCGCGGCUACGACCCGGGCGUCAACGCCGGCAUCGUCAACGCCUUCGCCACGGCUGCCUUCCGCUUCGGCCACACGCUCGUCAACCCCGUGCUGCAGCGGCUGGACGAGGACUUCCGGCCGCUGGCGCUGGGCCACGUGCCGCUGCACAAGGCCUUUUUCUCCCCGUUCCGCAUCGUCAACGAGGGCGGCAUCGACCCGCUGCUCCGCGGCCUGUUCGGCGUGCCCGGCAAAAUGCGCGUGCCAUCGCAGCUGCUCAACACGGAGCUCACCGAGCGGCUCUUCUCCAUGGCGCACACAGUGGCGCUGGACCUGGCCGCCAUCAACAUCCAGCGCGGCCGCGACCACGGCAUCCCGCCCUACCACGAGUACCGCGUCUACUGCAACCUGUCGGCCGCCCACACCUUCGAGGACCUGAGGAACGAGAUCAAGAGCCCCGAGAUCCGGGAGAAGCUGCAGCGGCUGUACGGCUCCCCACUCAACAUCGACCUGUUCCCGGCCCUCAUGGUGGAGGACCUGGUGCCCGGCAGCCGCCUGGGACCCACCUUGAUGUGUCUGCUCAGCACGCAGUUCAGGCGCCUUCGGGACGGGGACAGGCUGUGGUACGAGAACCCGGGGGUCUUCACUCCUGCCCAGCUCACCCAGAUCAAGCAGAGCUCCCUGGCCCGCAUCGUGUGCGACAACGCCGACAACAUCACGCGUGUGCAGAGAGACGUGUUCCGCGUGGCCGAGUUCCCGCACGGCUACAGCAGCUGCGACGAGAUCCCCCGCGUGGACCUCCGAGUGUGGCAGGACUGCUGUGAAGACUGCAGAACCCGGGGCCAGUUCAACGCCUUCUCCUACCACUUCCGAGGCAGGCGGUCUCUUGAGUUCAGCUACCAGGAGGAUGAGCCAGCCAGGGAGACAGGGCCCGGGAAGGCGCCAAGAGCCAGGAAGCUCCGGGCACCUCCCAGUAACGCCACAGACCCCUCCUUGGAGCAGCCGCAAGGGGCAGGGACAAGCGACUUCCGGGAGUUUGUCCUGGAGAUGCAGAAGACCAUCACGGACCUCAGGAAGCAGAUAAAGAAACUGGAGUCUCGGCUCAGCACAGACUGCGUGGACGCAGACGGCAGCUCGCACGCAGACGGGGCUGAGUGGACGCGGGAUCCGUGCACCACUUGUGAAUGCCGCGAUGGGCAGGUCACCUGCUUCGUGGAGACUUGUCAGCCGGCUGACUGCCCAGCGCCCGCCAGGGUCGGCGGGGCCUGCUGUCCCAUGUGCCCAGGAGACUCCACGGGGACGCAGCCCUGAGCGUCUGCGAGCCUGGAACUUGUCCCGGCCCCCGGGAGCGAGGCCGCACAGGCGGCGAGGCUGGGGUACGGGGACCACGGCUCGGGGAACCCCGGCCUGAGCGCUCGCCAGCAGACCACGGGGCAGACAUGUGUCCUGACUCCAUGUUGAGCUUUCUCAGGUUCCUAUUUAAUUUUUUUAAAU